rnacentral:rRNA from 1 species
GAUGAACGCUGGCGGCGUGCCUAAUACAUGCAAGUCGAGCGAACAGACGAGGAGCUUGCUCCUCUGACGUUAGCGGCGGACGGGUGAGUAACACGUGGAUAACCUACCUAUAAGACUGGGAUAACUUCGGGAAACCGGAGCUAAUACCGGAUAAUAUAUUGAACCGCAUGGUUCAAUAGUGAAAGACGGUUUUGCUGUCACUUAUAGAUGGAUCCGCGCCGCAUUAGCUAGUUGGUAAGGUAACGGCUUACCAAGGCAACAAUGCGUAGCCGACCUGAGAGGGUGAUCGGCCACACUGGAACUGAGCCACGGUCCAGACUCCUACGGGAGGCAGCAGUAGGGAAUCUUCCGCAAUGGGCGAAAGCUUGACGGAGCAACGCCGCGUGAGUGAUGAAGGUCUUCGGAUCGUAACACUCUGUUAUUAGGGAAGAACAAAUGUGUAAGUAACUAUGCACGUCUUGACGGUACCUAAUCAGAAAGCCACGGCUAACUACGUG